CAUGCAAGUCGAGCGGAUGAAGGGAGCUUGCUCCUGGAUUCAGCGGCGGACGGGUGAGUAAUGCCUAGGAAUCUGCCUGGUAGUGGGGGAUAACGUCCGGAAACGGGCGCUAAUACCGCAUACGUCCUGAGGGAGAAAGUGGGGGAUCUUCGGACCUCACGCUAUCAGAUGAGCCUAGGUCGGAUUAGCUAGUUGGUGGGGUAAAGGCCUACCAAGGCGACGAUCCGUAACUGGUCUGAGAGGAUGAUCAGUCACACUGGAACUGAGACACGGUCCAGACUCCUACGGGAGGCAGCAGUGGGGAAUAUUGGACAAUGGGCGAAAGCCUGAUCCAGCCAUGCCGCGUGUGUGAAGAAGGUCUUCGGAUUGUAAAGCACUUUAAGUUGGGAGGAAGGGCAGUAAGUUAAUACCUUGCUGUUUUGACGUUACCAACAGAAUAAGCACCGGCUAACUUCGUGCCAGCAGCCGCGGUAAUACGAAGGGUGCAAGCGUUAAUCGGAAUUACUGGGCGUAAAGCGCGCGUAGGUGGUUCAGCAAGUUGGAUGUGAAAUCCCCGGGCUCAACCUGGGAACUGCAUCCAAAACUACUGAGCUAGAGUACGGUAGAGGGUGGUGGAAUUUCCUGUGUAGCGGUGAAAUGCGUAGAUAUAGGAAGGAACACCAGUGGCGAAGGCGACCACCUGGACUGAUACUGA
rnacentral:rRNA from 1 species